CCUACGGGAGGCUGCAGUGAGGAAUAUUGGUCAAUGGACGAGAGUCUGAACCAGCCAAGUAGCGUGAAGGAUGACUGCCCUAUGGGUUGUAAACUUCUUUUAUAUGGGAAUAAAACGUUCCACGUGUGGGAUUUUGUAUGUACCAUAUGAAUAAGGAUCGGCUAACUCCGUGCCAGCAGCCGCGGUAAUACGGAGGAUCCGAGCGUUAUCCGGAUUUAUUGGGUUUAAAGGGAGCGUAGGUGGAUUUUUAAGUCAGUUGUGAAAGUUUGCGGCUCAACCGUAAAAUUGCAGUUGAAACUGGCAGUCUUGAGUACAGUAGAGGUGAGCGGAAUUCGUGGUGUAGCGGUGAAAUGCUUAGAUAUCACGAAGAACUCCGAUUGCGAAGGCAGUUCACUGGACUGCAACUGACACUGAGGCUCGAAAGUGUGGGUAUCAAACAGGAUUAGAUACCCUUGUAGUC
rnacentral:rRNA from 1 species